UCUGCUUGGUCCAAUAGAGGGCCACUGUAGGCUUCAAAGGGUGUCCCAAAGACUUAGCCAGGUCUGGCUUUAUGCACAAGCAUGUUAUACUGGAGGUUUGGAUUUAUGCAAAACAUAUCUUACCAUCCAAUCCGCUAUUCCGCUAAUGCUAAUUCACGUAACUUUGGUGGUUCCAGAAAUAGCAGUUACAGGUGACAGAAGAAUUACAUGUGCGGAAUAGCGGAUUGGAUGGUAAGAUAUGCAGAAAUAGCAGUUACAGGUGACAGAAGAAUUACAAGGUAGAAAAAUAAGCACUGCCAUGUGAGCUAAACACUGAUAUUCCACGCAAAAAUUCUUGUAAAUGUCAUGGUCCAAUGGCAUAAGUUUAAUAUUGUUAAUGAAUUCUGCAUUAAAACGAAAUUAAAACUAAACUAUAAGUUCUGAGAUUCAACUUUUCCCAUGCAUUAAAAGAUGCAGGAUCACUGUACAAUGCAUUGUUGCACUGUGCAAAUAUAGUUGCCUUUCAUCUAAAUAUUUUCAAAACCUUUCAUUCGAUUGGCUGCUUCAUAUUUACAAGAUUAAGGGGGAGCUUAUGUCUUCAAAGUCAACUUCUGGACAUAAUGUGAAUUAUCACAGAAAUUUGCAAAGAAACCAUUAACAAGCAUUCAGGGACUCCAACCAUAAACAACACUCCCUACCAUAAACGCCCUGGAUGUGCAAAUUAAAUUAAGCCACCAGCCAUUUACAACAAAUUCAAUUGGCAAUCAGGCUAGGUUUUACAUUGCGAGGACUAAGUUCGCAAAUUGUUGGUAGCUCGCCAAUUCAAACCCAUUUAAGUGUCCAUAAUGAAGUACUAGGUGAGGCCCUUAACCCCCUAGCAUGUAAUCCAGCAUUUACCAACAACAAUAUGGGUGACAGCAAAAAUGGGAUCUUCUAUGAUGGGUGGUUAAUCUACCAUCAUUUUUGCAAUAUCGCAAUUCAGGCCACGCAACACAUUAAACGGAAUUUCUCGACACUUUAGCUUCCUGCAUGAACUCCAAUCAUGUGGUCCAACCUUAUGCCAUACUCAACCGGAAGUGAUGAAUUCUAAAAAUGAGGUUUGGGUAGGAGGGGGCAAGCGUCGAACACCUGGCGCGCAAGCUUCCGGUAGGCGGCCUUGAUGUCCUUGUUGGUCGCAGAGCGCGGCACGCCCAGUGUCGCGUAGUAGUCGGCCGACGCCCAGACCAACAAUCUCCCUCCGCGGCGCCGCCUUGGAGCCCGCCCGCGAUGCCGCGGCGCAGCACAGGCAAGCGGGAGGUCGCCGCCGCCGCUCCGGACGGCGGCAGAGAAGUGGACCCGACGAGGAGGGAACGCGGCGUCAGCGGGGGCGCGGGAGGAUGGCGAGGGAUUAGAGGGCACGAACGGCAGCGUGGACAGCGCGAACGCCAUUAGCGAGCUCGCAGAGGUUUG
rnacentral:lncRNA from 1 species